rnacentral:rRNA from 1 species
CCUACGGGAGGCAGCAGUGGGGAAUAUUGGACAAUGGGGGGAACCCUGAUCCAGCGACGCCGCGUGAGUGAAGAAGUAUUUCGGUAUGUAAAGCUCUAUCAGCAGGGAAGAAAGAAAUGACGGUACCUGACUAAGAAGCCCCGGCUAACUACGUGCCAGCAGCCGCGGUAAUACGUAGGGGGCAAGCGUUCUCCGGAUUUACUGGGUGUAAAGGGAGCGUAGACGGCGAUGCAAGUCUGAAGUGAAAGGCGGGGGCCCAACCCCCGGACUGCUUUGGAACCUGUAUGGCUGGAGUGCAGGGGAGGUAAGUGGAAUGCCUAGUGUAGCGGGGAAAUGCGUAGAUAUUAGGAGGAACACCAGUGGCGAAGGCGGCUUACUGGACUGUAACUGACGUUGAGGCUCGAAAGCGUGGGGAGCAAACAGGAUUAGAUACCCGUGUAGUC